GUGGUGUUCACAAAUGAGUUAAUACCACUGUCUUCCCAAAGAUAUCCAGACAACUUCUUAAAUCUGGGAGAGGGAAGAAGUUCCUAGGAGACCAGUGCCUGCAGUAAUGACCAGGAAGAGAGUGGUAUGGGAAAACAGUGAUGACGAGGCUUCCCGCUCACCAAAAUUGCAGGCCUGGCCACUGAGGGCCGAGAGCUGCUGUGAAUAGGCCCAGUCUUCAUCAUUGGGGGCAGAGAUCACCAGCAGCCGCCUCCUCCAUCGGAACCUGGAACAGACAGGAGGCCGUGAUUACUGCUUUGAACAGUAGAGAUUCACUGACAAGCAAUUCAGAGUUGCUAUUCUAAGGAAUGGAACUGUACCAUCCAAAACAGAAACCUGUACCUUGACUCUCAGGUCCACAUCUAACCACUUUGAGACUCACUGAACUAUGUCAUCGCUAUAACAAGAAACAAGCCUAUGUUCAGAUUUGCCCACAGGUUCAUUUUAG